ACAACAAAAAAAAAAAAAAAAAAAAAAAAAGAACAUUCUGUUACCUCAAACACGCUGUUUUCAUGCAAUUUAGUUAACUGGUAGCACUUUCAGAAGAAGACAAAGUAAAAAUGGUUAGGUCAAUUUGGUGGCAUAGAGUAUUCUAUCGAUCAGUGGUCAAAAGAGUAGUCAUUCUGAGUGAUCUCUAACAUUAGGGUUGAUGGAAGAGAUGACCCAUAGAUGUCCCUACAUCUCAUUUCUCUUAGGACACACACUUGGGAGAAAUCGUCCAGUGCACUUUGUCCAGGCCUUUUACUUGUACCAACUACUUUGCUUUAUGCUGUUUUCACUUUAGUGGUUCUGCCUUCUAGUCCACAGAAAAGUUUUUUCUUAACGUAUUUUUUUCCCAACACUUUAUUAUGGGAAUUUUCAAACAUACAGAAAAGAUAAAAGAAAUUUACAGAGAAUACUCGUGUCUCUAUCAGCUAGAUUCUACAGUUAACAUUUUACUAUAGUAGUUUUAUUGCAUAUCUGUUUAUCUCCCUGUGCAUCCAUGGAUCCAAUUCAUCUUUAGGAUGCAUUUCAAAGCAAGUUGCUGACGUCAGUACACUUCCCUCUCAAUACUUUAGUAUGUGGAUCAAUAACCCUAGCUUAAGAUUUGUUGAUUGUUUUUCUUUCCUUUUGAAGUAAAAUUUACACACAAGGAAAUGCACACAUCUUAAGUGGACCAUUUGAUGAGUUUUGAGUAAUGCCCACAUUGUGUAACUCAAACGUCUAUCAAGAAAGAACAUUACCAUACCUGAGAGUAUCCUCAUGCUCCUCCCCUGGGGUACUCCCUGCCUCUCCACACCAAUCCCCCCAGGUAACAACUGUUCUGAUAUCCCCCUCACCAUAUAUACCUGCUCUAGAACAUCAUAUAAAUGGAAUGAUACAAUAUGUCUUUUGUAUAAGCUUUAUUCCACUCAGCAUAAUGUUUUUGCCAUUCACCCAUAUUAUUGAUCAUAUUAGUACCUUGCUCCUUCUUAUUACUGAGUAGUAUUAGAUAGUAUAAACAUAGCGUAGUCUAUUUUCCUAUUUUGAUGGAUAUGUGGGCUUGUUCUGAUUUUUGCUUAUUAUGAAUAAAACUUCUGAGUAUUCUUGUACAAGUAUUUUUUGGACAUACAUUUUCAUUUCUCUUGGCAAAAUACCUAGGAAUGGAAUUGCUGGGUCAUAGGGUAUACUUUUAGUUUUGUAAGAAGCUGUCAGAUCUCUUCCCAAAGUGGUUGUAACAUUUUACACUCCUACUAACAGUGCAUGGGAAGCCAGUUUCUCUAUAUCCUCUCCAACAUUUGGUGCUGUCAAUCUUUUAAAAUUUUAGCCAUUUUUGUGGUUGUAUAGUGUUAUCUCAUUGCAGUUUUAAUUUGCCGAUCCCUGAAUGUGUGUAGGUGUGUAUAUGUAUUAUAUAAUAUAUAUAUUAUUCUUUCACUUAUUUUGAAGUAAUUUCAAAGUUUCCAGAAUAAUAUCAAGAACUCCUGUACUCCCUUCGCCAGAUUCUCCAAUUGUAACGUUUUAUUGCAUAUGCUCCAUUGCCCAUUCUCUCUCUACUUAUAGCUGCAUUAGUGUUUUUCUGAACCUUUAGAGAUGAAGGUGAAAAAAGAUGCGAUAUCACCACCCUCCCGUUCUAGUAUGCAUUUUCCCCAAAUAAAGACAUUUUCCUACAGAAUCAGCAUAUGAUCCUUCAUAUCAGGUUAUCAACAGUGGUAUAACACUGUCCAGUCCACAGACCCCAUUUGCCAAUGAGCCCCCAAAUCUCUGCUUUUUCUUUGUGUUCCAGGAUAUUAUCCAUGAGCCUGUGUUUCAUGUAAUUGUCAUGUUUCUUCGGAUUCCUUCAAACUGCUACAGCUUCUGUGUCUAUCCCUGUCUUCCAUGUGCUUGACAGCUUUGAAGAGUACAGGUCCUUCAUUCAGUAGAAUGACCACCAAGCCAGGUCCACCAGAUGUUUCAUCAUGGUUUUAGUGAGGUUAUAAAUUCUGGGCAGUAAUUCUACAGAAGUGCUGCUUUGUUUUUCUCAGUGCCUCACACCCAGUGGCACAUAUCAUCACCACUGGUGAUGCUAACCUCGAUUGCUCAACCACAUUGUCUGCCAGCUCCCGCCUACUUAAAUUCAACAUUUUGCCUUUUGCAAUUUAUUUGUGUUUUGUGGGAACAUAUUUUCAUUUCUGAAAUUAGUCAAUAUCCUGUUCCUUAUCAAACUUCCAACUCUGGUCUUAGCAUCCAUUGACUGAAUCAAGUGCCUUUGUGUAAGUUUCCACAUGAUGAGUGUCUAUUUCCAUCAUUGGUAGCUGGGAUUACAGGCAUGCGCCACCAGGCCCAGCUAAUUGUUUUUUGUAUUUUU
rnacentral:lncRNA from 1 species